rnacentral:rRNA from 1 species
GACGAACGCUGGCGGCGUGCUUAACACAUGCAAGUCGAACGAAGAGCGAUGGAAGCUUGCUUCUAUCAAUCUUAGUGGCGAACGGGUGAGUAACGCGUAAUCAACCUGCCCUUCAGAGGGGGACAACAGCUGGAAACGACUGCUAAUACCGCAUACGAUCUAAUCUCGGCAUCGGGGAUAGAUGAAAGGUGGCCUCUACAGGUAAGCUGUCACAUAAGGAUGGGAUUGCGGCAGAUUAGCAAGUUGGCGGGGUAACGGCCCACCAAGGCGAGGAUCAGUAGCAGGACGGAGAGGAUGAGCGGCCACAUUGGGACUGAGACACGGCACAGAGUGAUACGGGAGGCAGCAGUGCGGCAUCUUGCGCAAUGGGCGGAAGUUUGACGGAGCAACGCCGAGUGCGCGAUGACGGACUUCGGGUUGUAAAGCUCUGUUAAUCGGGACGAAAGGCCUUCUUGCGAAUAGUGAGAAGGAUUGACGGUAACGGAAUAGAAAGCAACGGCUAACUACGUG